rnacentral:tRNA from 2 species
GAUUUCUUAGCUCAGUUAGUAGAGCAUAGGCUUUUAAUCUGUGGGGCCAGGGUUCGAACCCCUGAGGGGUCACCA